rnacentral:rRNA from 1 species
CCUACGGGUGGCAGCAGUGAGGAAUAUUGGUCAAUGGACGCAAGUCUGAACCAGCCAUGCCGCGUGCAGGAAGACGGCUCUAUGAGUUGUAAACUGCUUUUGUACGUGGGUAAACUCCGAUACGCGUAUCUUUCUGCAUGUACCUUACGAUUAAGGAUCGGCUAACUCCGUGCCAGCAGCCGCGGUAAUACGGAGGAUUCAAGCGUUAUCCGGAUUUAUUGGGUUUAAAGGGUGCGUAGGCGGUCGGUUAAGUUAGCGGUGAAAUCCCGGGGCUCAACUUCGGAAUUGCCUCUGAUACUGUUAGGCUAGAGGGUAGUUGCGGUAGGCGGAAUGUAUGGUGUAGCGGUGAAAUGCUUAGAGAUCAUGCAGAACACCGAUUGCGAAGGCAGCUUACCAAGCU